GCCGAGUGCAGUGGCAUGUGCCUGUAGUCCCAGCUACUCGGGAGGCUGAGGCUGGAGGAUUUCUUGAGUCCAGGAGUUCUGGGCUGUAGUGCGCUAUGCCGAUCGGGUGUCCGCACUAAGUUUGGCAUCAAUAUGUGACCACCCAGGAUCGGGGGACCAUCAAGUUGCCUAAGGAGGGGUGAACCGGCACAGGUUGGAAAUGGAGCAGGUCAAAACUCCCGUGCUGAUCAGUAGUGGGAUCGCACCUGUGAAUAGCCACUGCACUCCAGCCUGGGCAACAUAGUGAGACCCCAUCUCU
rnacentral:SRP_RNA from 1 species